AACGAACGCUGGCGGCAGGCUUAACACAUGCAAGUCGAGCGCCCCGCAAGGGGAGCGGCAGACGGGUGAGUAACACGUGGGGAUCUGCCCAAUGGUACGGAAUAGCUCCGGGAAACUGGAAAUAAUACCGUGUGUGCCCGCAAGGGGAAAGAUUUAUCGCCAUUGGAUGAACCCGCGUCGGAUUAGCUAGUUGGUGUGGUAAAGGCGCACCAAGGCGACGAUCCGUAGCUGGUCUGAGAGGAUGAUCAGCCACACUGGGACUGAGACACGGCCCAGACUCCUACGGGAGGCAGCAGUGGGGAAUAUUGGACAAUGGGCGCAAGCCUGAUCCAGCCAUGCCGCGUGAGUGAUGAAGGCCUUAGGGUUGUAAAGCUCUUUCGCCGACGAAGAUAAUGACGGUAGUCGGAGAAGAAGCCCCGGCUAACUUCGUGCCAGCCGCCGCCGUAAUAC
rnacentral:rRNA from 1 species